CGUCCCCUUUCCCCGCUCCCGGGGCCGCGCGCCCGCCGCUCCUCGGCAUCACGCGCCUGCUGUUCCGGCGUCCCGGGCCCCGCGCGUCUGCUGUUGCCGUGAGCUCACCCAUCCCACAGGUCAAGGCCUCCCACCCUUGCUCCGCCCUUUCGGGUAGCCUGGUCGCCUCCAGGCCUAGAGGGAUCACCUAUGGAACCCCCGGAUCACGGUACCUACCGCGAAGACCCGAUCAGGUGGCGUGUGGCGCCUUCCACAGCCUCGCCCUGCGCUCCUGCAGCGUCCAACUACCGCCCCCCGCCCCCCAACCCCAGCACAGGCUUUUGGAUAUCACCCUCGAAAAUCCCUUCAAUUGCACCUAAAGUCCAGCGUACACGGGAUCAGGGGUAGUCAGGACUCGCUAAAUAAUUUGCGUGGCCCAGUGAAAAGUGAAAACGUGGCGCCCCUUAUUAAAAAAAGACUGCGAAUUUUCAAAAGUCGAUAUCAGAGCGUUAAACCGAAACCCCGGGGCCCCUCUAAGUUAAGUGUCGGGCCCUGCCGCCAGCCCGUGAAGCUGGCCCUGAUUUCAGUGCACUAUCUCUCUCUCUGCCCGAGGGUUUUUCCCCAGCGCCGGGGCAAAUCCAGCUCCUUCUGUUGGAUACCAGAUCAGGCUUCAAGACUUCAUCUUGUCCUCCAGGAAGACUUCCUUGAUGCCCAUAGCUGGGUAAG